GUAGGAUACAGUGUGCAAUUUGAAUGAAAUUUGGAAAAACAUAUGGCAAAAUAUAAAAGUAUAUUUUAUAUGGAAUAAUACUAAAUCAAUUACAUUUGGAGUGGGAGUGCAUAUUUAUAUUUUCCCCUGUUCCUAUGAAUGAAUACAAUAUCCUAAGGUACGUUGCUUCAACCAUUCAUUCAUACUUUCCCUCCACAAACGUGUUGUUGGCUAUUUGGAGAGGCAAAUUAAGAUCCAUAUUUCAUAAACUAGUUAUCUAAGUGUUUUAUGGUUUGAAUGCGAGGUCCCCCAGAAGUUCACGUGUAAGACAAUGCAAGACGGUUUGGAGAAGAAAUGAUUGGGUUAUAGCCUUAAUCUAAUCAGUGUAUUAAUCCCUGGUGUGAUUAACUGAGAGUGAACUGGAGACAGGUGGGGUGUGGCCAGAGGGAGUAGUUCACUGGGAACAUGGCUAUGGGGUAUAUGUUUUGUAUCUGGAGCAUGGAGUCUCUUUCUCUCUGCUUCCUCACCACCAUGUGAGCUGUUUCCCUUUGCCAUACUGUUCUGCCAUGAUGUUCUGCCUUACCUUGAGCCCCGAGGAAUGGAGUCUUCUGUCUCUGGAUUGGGGUCUCUGAAACUGUAAGCCUCCAAAUAAACUUUUCCUUCUUUACAACUGUGCUGGUUGGGUCUUUAUGUCACGGUAGUGAAAAGAGCUGACUAAAACAAGGUGUUUGGUAAUGUCAGACUGAAUGAAAAUAUAUUACUUGAAAAGCAAUGACUUUAAUUAUAAGGCCCUUAAGCAGACAAUGAAAGAAGGGAAGACAAGUAAGUUGUUAUAUAAUAUCAGGUAUUUGUAAGUAGCAAUGAGUAAAGAAA
rnacentral:lncRNA from 1 species